GCCACGGAGAAGCUGCUCGAUCUGACGAGUUUGGAUGCCCCUCCAUGCCGCCCUUGCCGAUGCACAAGUUGAAUGGAUCCCCAUCAGCGGCCGGAGCAGAUGAGCGACAUGGCGGCGCCGGCGGCGGGCAUCAGCGGCAUCAUCGACCCGGAAGUUCUCGACUGCGCCAUCUGCUUCGACCCCCUCCGGCCUGCGGUCUUCUAGCCAGCGCCAUCAAGACUGCAACGCCACUAGCGCAAGACCUGCAGCUGGCCUAGUCUUGUUUUUACUCUUGGUUUUGCCUCAUGGGAUUCAAGCUUAAUUUGCUUGGGCAGCGAUUAGUUCAGUUGAUGACUUGUACCUGCUGAUCACCAAUACAGAUUCAGAACACAUCAUACGAUCAUAGUAAGUAAAAUAUUUUGCCUAAAUUCAAGACGAAACAAGAUGUUCAAAGAAGCGCCAAGACAUUUUUGUAUAGCAAGUUAUGUAAUAAUAGCUAGGUUAUUUGGGCAUUGUGAACUCCAGAAUUUCAUGUAUCUUCUCUCUGUUUUUGAAUGAAAUGUUGUAUGUGAUUUGAUGUAACAGAUUGUUGCUUCUUGUUAUUUGAAGUAUUACACUUGUUUUC